rnacentral:tRNA from 1 species
GGUCUCAUCGUACAACGGAGAGUAUGGCGGAUUGUCUAUCCGCAGAUCGGGGUUCGAUUCCCCGUGGGACCG